rnacentral:rRNA from 1 species
GAUGAACGCUGGCGGCGUGCCUAAUACAUGCAAGUCGAGCGAACAGAUGAGGAGCUUGCUCCUCUGACGUUAGCGGCGGACGGGUGAGUAAAACGUGGAUAACCUACCUAUAAGACUGGGAUAACUUCGGGAAACCGGAGCUAAUACCGGAUAAUAUAUUGAACCGCAUGGUUCAAUAGUGAAAGACGGUUUUGCUGUCACUUAUAGAUGGAUCCGCGCCGCAUUAGCUAGUUGGUAAGGUAACGGCUUACCAAGGCAACGAUGCGUAGCCGACCUGAGAGGGUGAACGGCCACACUGGAACUGAGACACGGUCCAGACUCUUACGGGAGGCAGAAGUAGGGAAUCUUCCGCAAUGGGCGAAAGCUUGACGGAGCAACGCCGCGUGAGUGAUGAAGGUCUUCGGAUCGUAAAACUCUGUUAUUAGGGAAGAACAAAUGUGUAAGUAACUAUGCACGUCUUGACGGUACCUAAUCAGAAAGCCACGGCUAACUACGUG